rnacentral:misc_RNA from 1 species
GAUGAAGAACGUAGCGAAAUGCGAUAAGUAGUGUGAAUUGCAGAAUUCAGUGAAUAAUCGAAUCUUUGAACGCACAUUGCGCCCUUUGGUAUUCCAAAGGGCAUGCCUGUUCGAGCGUCAUUUGUACCCUCAAGCUUUGCUUGGUGUUGGGCGUCUUGUCUCUAGCUUUGCUGGAGACUCGCCUUAAAGUAAUUGGCAGCCGGCCUACUGGUUUCGGAGCGCAGCACAAGUCGCACUCUCUAUCAGCAAAGGUCUAGCAUCCAUUAAGCCUUUUUUUCAACUUUUGACCUCGGAUCAGGUAGGGAUACCCGCUGAACUUAAGCAUAUCAAUAAGCGGAGGA